AAUUCCAAUAGUUAAAUUCCUAAGAUUCCCGGGAUGACAAAAAUAAUACCCAAAGGGGUUGGGUAGAGGUGAAUUCACAUUUAAAUCGUCUAACACAUUAUCGUGGAAAGUUGUAUACAGGGUAUAUACUUUUUUACUGUAUUAGAAUGCUAAAUUGCAGAAACUUUCUUUGUAUAAUCAAAGGCAGAAGAGGCACGUAUGCAAGGGUUCAAAAUUAAAUAUGAGAUUUAACAAAUCCGAACAGUUCACGAAAGACUAUAUGAAGUACAAUAUAUACAGUAGUCUUCACCCUGGCACAGGUGUAAGGCUCGGAAAUGAAAGCAGGGAAACGUAGAAAUGGAGGAAUCAGAUUGUGAGAAUAAUUUAGCGGUAAUAAUAAGUAGGUGGUGGUCACGCUCGGUUAAGGAGUGGUGGGUGGUGGUGGCCGUCAGUGGUGUAAUGGUUAAUAUGCAGUAUUGGGGACUCUUACAUAACCUGACAUGUAUAAUAAAUUUUUUUUAUCCUUAUGGCUUCAUUGUAUAAUUUAUGAUCAAUGAAAUCCUGUGUAUUGUUUUAUUUUACAAUGUUUCAGUAUGUUAAAAGUUGAAAAGCUUUUCUUAGAAUGGUUCAUUGGUUUGGGGGCUUCAGAGGGCCUGGAGCAUAUGUCUGAUCUAAUCUAAAGUUUACACCAGGGAAAGUGGGUCCUGGCGGCGAUGAUUUCGUUCUGGUGUUUGUGCUGGCCUGAGUUCUCCUCCGUGAGCCCUGCCUUUAUAUACCUUGGCUUGUGCUACUGAAGAGUCGUGGCCGAGGACUGACCGACUAGUGUGUACAACUCGGGGUGUACCCGUGUCUGAAGGUAUCAUGUUUAAAGGAUUGUCCCUGUGUUGUGAAGUUCGUCGGCAGCCAUAUACAGUACCUCAGCAGCCGGGUCGAAAGUUAUUGAGGCAGAAGCCACUGGAGAAGGCGCGCCUCACCGACUUCUGUGUUGCCAACAAUGAUCUUGGCUGCUGGGUGGAGAGUCUUCAGAUGGAGGAGUUGACUAAGGGAUGUUGGCCUGUAGAAGGUGACCCGUGGACCCCUUAACUCCAGCAGCAGUGUGUAAGAGAAAAUGGAUCACCAAGCUGACAUCUGACGAAGAGGUUAAAACUUAAUGCUAUUAUUGCAGCAUGUUUUAACCUGAAUGGACAGUUCUUCCGUUGGUGGUGACGUACGAAGCAGAAGCAGUACUUGCCUUCUUCCCAUUCACGAAGAACACAAGUGUGGUGCAGGAAUCCACGUUCUGAGGCAUGGUAAAGACACGUGAUGUUCAGAGGAGUAAGACAAGUAGUGAAGGAAC